rnacentral:rRNA from 1 species
UACGUAGGGCGCGAGCGUUGUCCGGAAUUAUUGGGCGUAAAGAGCUCGUAGGCGGUCUGUCGCGUCGGAUGUGAAAGCCCGGGGCUUAACUCCGGGUCUGCAUUCGAUACGGGCAGGCUAGAGUGUGGUAGGGGAGAUCGGAAUUCCUGGUGUAGCGGUGAAAUGCGCAGAUAUCAGGAAGAACACCCGUAGCGAAGGCGGCACUCUGGGCCGGUACUGACGCUGAGGAGCGAAAGCGUGGGGAGCAAACAGG